UACGUAGGGGGCAAGCGUUGUCCGGAUUUAUUGGGCGUAAAGAGCUCGUAGGCGGUUCGGCAAGUCAGAUGUAAAAACUCCAGGCUCAACUUGGAGAGGCCAUCUGAUACUGCCGUGACUAGAGUCCGGUAGAGGAGCACGGAAUUCCAGGUGUAGCGGUGAAAUGCGUAGAUAUCUGGAGGAACACCGGUGGCGAAGGCGGCGACCUGGGUUGACACUGACGCUGAGGCGCGAAAGCGUGGGGAGCAAACAGG
rnacentral:rRNA from 1 species